GAUGAACGCUGGCGGCGUGCUUAACACAUGCAAGUCGAACGAACCUCCGGGUUAGUGGCGGACGGGUGAGUAACGCGUGGGAAUCUGCCCUCAGGAGGGGGAUAACGGCUGGAAACGGCCGCUAAUACCCCAUACGCCGAGAGGUGAAAUGAAUUUCGCCUGAGGAUGAGCCCGCGUCUGAUUAGCUAGUUGGUGAGGUAAGAGCUCACCAAGGCAUCGAUCAGUAGCUGGUCUGAGAGGAUGAUCAGCCACACUGGGACUGAGACACGGCCCAGACUCCUACGGGAGGCAGCAGUGGGGAAUUUUCCGCAAUGGGCGAAAGCCUGACGGAGCAACGCCGCGUGAGGGAUGAAGGCCUCUGGGCUGUAAACCUCUUUCUCAAGGAAGAAGAUCUGACGGUACUUGAGGAACAAGCCUCGGCUAAUUCCGUGCCAGCAGCCGCCGUAAU
rnacentral:rRNA from 1 species